GAUGAACGCUGGCGGCGUGCUUAACACAUGCAAGUCGAACGGUGAAAGAGAGCUUGCUCUCUGGAUCAGUGGCGAACGGGUGAGUAACACGUGAGCAAUCUGCCCCUGACUCUGGGAUAAGCGCUGGAAACGGCGUCUAAUACCGGAUACGAGCUGCGAAGGCAUCUUCAGCAGCUGGAAAGAACUUCGGUCAGGGAUGAGCUCGCGGCCUAUCAGCUAGGUGGUGAGGUAACGGCUCACCAAGGCGUCGACGGGUAGCCGGCCUGGGAGGGUGACCGGCCACACUGGGACUGAGACACGGCCCAGACUCCUACGGGAGGCAGCAGUGGGGAAUAUUGCACAAUGGGCGCAAGCCUGAUGCAGCAACGCCGCGUGAGGGACGACGGCCUUCGGGUUGUAAACCUCUUUUAGCAGGGAAGAAGCGAAAGUGACGGUACCUGCAGAAAAAGCACCGGCUAACUACGUGCCAGCCGCCGCCGUAACAC
rnacentral:rRNA from 1 species